rnacentral:rRNA from 2 species
UUAGCGACUAAGCGUACACGGUGGAUGCCCUGGCAGUCAGAGGCGACGAAGGACGUGCUAAUCUGCGAAAAGCGCCGGCGAGGUGAUAUGAACCUUUGACCCGGCGAUGUCCGAAUGGGGAAACCCAGUGUGAUUCGUCACACUAUCGUUAACUGAAUACAUAGGUUAACGAGGCGAACCGGGGGAACUGAAACAUCUAAGUACCCCGAGGAAAAGAAAUCAACCGAGAUUCCCCCAGUAGCGGCGAGCGAACGGGGAGCAGCCCGGAGUCUGAAUCAGCUUGUGUGUUAGUGGAACGGUCUGGAAAGUCCGACGGUACAGGGUGAUAGUCCCGUACACGAAAAUGCACAGGCUGUGAACUCGAAGAGUAGGGCGGGACACGUGGUAUCCUGUCUGAAUAUGGGGGGACCAUCCUCCAAGGCUAAAUACUCCUGACUGACCGAUAGUGAACCAGUACCGUGAGGGAAAGGCGAAAAGAACCCCGGCGAGGGGAGUGAAAAAGAACCUGAAACCGUGUACGUACAAGCAGUGGGAGCCUYUUUAUGGGGUGACUGCGUACCUUUUGUAUAAUGGGUCAGCGACUUAUAUUCUGUAGCAAGGUUAACCGUAUAGGGGAGCCGAAGGGAAACCGAGUCUUAACUGGGCGUUAAGUUGCAGGGUAUAGACCCGAAACCCGGUGAUCUAGCCAUGGGCAGGUUGAAGGUUGGGUAACACUAACUGGAGGACCGAACCGACUAAUGUUGAAAAAUUAGCGGAUGACCUGUGGCUGGGGGUGAAAGGCCAAUCAAACCGGGAGAUAGCUGGUUCUCCCCGAAAGCUAUUUAGGUAGCGCCUCGUGAACUCAUCUUCGGGGGUAGAGCACUGUUUCGGCUAGGGGGCCAUCCCGGCUUACCAACCCGAUGCAAACUGCGAA